ACCGCUUCCGCCAUCAACUACUAGAAACCACUUGUUGUACUCAUAGGCCAGAAUGGUCUUGUACUACAUAUUUUGUAUUUUGCUUGGAAUUUCUGUAUCAAGUUGGUGCCUCAUCAGCUAACAGUAAUCCUGGGGCUGGUGAGCACAAGGGCCAUUUUCUGGAAAUUAAUAUCCCGAAAAUCCGGUCCUGACAAUAGACGAGGCCCUGGCAGUAGCUCAGCAGAAGGUGGUGCUUGGCCUCCAGGCACCCCAUGCCCUCGCCCGUCGGCAGCUGGUUCUUCCUCACCUAUACCAAUACACAAGCAGUCAAGCACACAAGAAAACGAAUAGAAUACUUAGUUUUGUGGAUACUGCUACCCGUUGCUGAAAUGCUGCCUUAUUCUUACACAAGUGAACUUAUCAUAGAUCAUGAAGCAGGCGGAGCUGGAAUUUUGCUUUUUCGAUGGAACUAAUAGAACAAGCUAACAAUAUUAUAAACGUUUCUUCACGGCCACUGAUUACUUGCUCGUUGCACGGAGAUUUUAAUCAGUGUGACAACUAGUCACUAGAUACAAAACAAUUCAUAUAAACAGGGCAUACCAAGCAGCAUACCAAGUAGCAUACCAAGCAAAAAAACAAAUUUCAAACAAAAUUUGCUGCAAUCCUGAUGGUAGAAACAAGCUAGCUAGAUUAAACACCAACAGUUAACACAGCCUAGCUGUAAUAACUAACAAGGCCACUAUAAAUUAUUAACAUGCAUGAUCUGCAGUACUAGGAGACCGAGUCAAUGCACAUUACAGUAACUACAAAUGGGGUCUACUACAAGAGCACAAUUUAACAAGUGUUCUACUCCAAAUCAUCAUCACUUGUAAAUAGGAAUGAUCUUUUACAUGACACAAGCACGAAAAGUACAAACAAAAUCACCCAUGCACAUGAAACAAAGCAAGGUACUACUAUAGCAGCACAAGAGAGGGGGCUAGAAGAUAGGAGACGAACUUAGAUGAGAGGAGAUUGUAGUCGAUGCCGCACACGGCCACGGUCUUCGUCCCGCGGUAGAGGAGGUUGUAGCUGAGUUGGACCAUGUGCCGAGCGUCGUCGUGGCGGUGGAUGCCCUGGUUGUCGUCAUUGUCCACAGAGGAUUCCUACUGCUCCGAAUCAAACAAAGAAGUAAGAGUUAGUGUUGUUGAUCUAGUACAGAAAUUAAGCAAGCGAGUAUAGGAGACACACACACGUGCUACUGCUAGUAUCUACAGACAUCAAUCAAGUUGGCUGUGUGUGUGCGCUUGAGCUAGCUUAGUACGUACAGUCCAUGGUUGGGCUCCAAAACAAACAGAGCAUGCUAGUGUUAACAAAAUCAAGCCAGUAGAAUAGAAACAAACCAUACCAUGAUGAAGUUUAAAAUAGAAUAAACAAUGCAUAUACAUUUUCUAAUGGAAAACCACAAAAACAGUUGAUGAAAAUCUACAUCCGAAGUUCUAACAAUGCCAUGUCUACAACAAAACAAGACUAGGACGAUUGCUGUAAUUCUAAUGCAGCAAUAAAACAAACCUAACUACAUUGUUCAACAGCUUCGAAUAACAAAAAAUCUACCAUUUAUGAUUAAUUCAACAAAAAAACUAAAUAACAUAGGCCUUUUGGGACAAACAAAACUAAACAGCGAGCACAACAUGAUAUGGAUAUCUCAAAACAAAUUCUCCUCGGAAAAUACUUCGGAACACAUAUGGACAACAUACGAAACUGAUUUACAAUCUACAAUAAGAUAUACCAGUCUCAUCAAAUCAGGCUGCUAAAUCUCCCAACGCCACAUCAGUAACAGCCUCUAGAUCAUGAAUCAACGCAACACUACAUGAGUCGAGAGUUAAUCUAUCCGAGGAUAGGCAUGGAACCCAAUAGCAGUACACGCUACAACCGAUCAACCACAUGAAUCCCUAGGCAAAACACGCUACAACUCAUCAACCACAUGAAUCCCUACACAUCCCCUACUGUGAACUUUGUGACAUAUAGAGGCCACUGCCAGGGGACAUGAAAAGCAUAUAGUGUGAACUUUGUGCAUCUUAAUUUAGUAGCAGCAUAUAGUGUGGACUGUGUAGUCCAUAUCAUCUGCCACGUCUUCAG
rnacentral:lncRNA from 1 species